UUGUUACCAUUUAGGAGUUGUUUGGUAGCCAUUUUAUUUUGUCAUUAAUACAUUUUUGAACAGUUGGUAGUCACUUGUCUGGCAAACCAUGCGACAGUGUGCAAUGCAUAAACUUUCCUUUUUUCUCAAACUAUCCCUCCCACCGACAGAAGAACUCUCUCAGCUUGGGGCUGAAACCGACGACAUUCUGCAUCACAAUCCUUAUGACCACCAAACCUUCCACACACAGAGGAGCCGAUUUUCACUGUGGUGACUGUCGCGACAAGUAAGAGUGCGGAAAAAGGUGCUCGACGUCGACCAUUUCUUUACAAUCAGUAGCCUAUACCAAAUCACCGAAACGAAGCAUCUCCGCCCAAAAAAAAAUGGAGCCCGUCGGCAUACGGGUACUUUCACUUCCUUCACCAUUUCUCCCACACUUUCCAUUGGUUUUCCCUCAUUCCUGAGGGACCUGUUCUACUUUCCAGCCAGGAGCCAUUCCACAAGGCAUGUCGUCCGCUGCAAAGGAGACGGCACGAGCUUCGGGCUCGAAAUCCUAUGCCUGGUAGAACUCGGACGCAACCCGAGCAUUCAUUGCAGCCUACGAAAUCGUCAUUGCUGAGGGACAUCGAAACUGUCGAUGUUUUACCAAACACGGCAGGGAACGAGUGUCCGUGCUCUUCAACUCAGUCAUUGGCCACAACUAGAGCAAGCAGCAACUGCGCAACCAUUGGGAUGCAAUGCGUCGAACCCACAAAUGUCUAUCGGAGCAGGUGAACUGCAGCAGGGUCGAGUACAAUGAAGCCACCAGUCGAAUCAUCGCAUGGGACGAAUGGUGGAACCGAAAGAUUAAGGUAACGGUUUCACAACUUCUCAAAAACUCGUGGUCGUAAAUGUGCAUUUCUGUGCUCGUUCAAUGCUUUUUUGUGAAUUGGUUUGUGUUUACAUUG
rnacentral:lncRNA from 1 species